GACGAGGUGGCCGAGUGGUUAAGGCGAUGGACUCAUAAUCCGUUAGGUCUGCCCGCGUGGGUUCGAAUCCCAUCCCUCGUCG